GUCCCUGUCGUCCAGUGGCCUAGGAUCCUGGGACCUCACCCCAGAGACGCCGGUUCAAAUCCGGCCAGGGACACCA
rnacentral:tRNA from 1 species